rnacentral:lncRNA from 1 species
GGCAACAUUGGUUGAAACCGCCAAAAAAAAAAAAAAUUACAGAAAGUUAACACGUGAAGCCAAAGGGAGAAACCACCCAUUUCGACACUCAAUAAAGAGAAAAUCCUCCCCUCCUAGCUCGGCCGCGCCUCAGUUGGCCGGCAGCACUUCCACCGUCGGUCGUCGUCAUCAUUUCCGGCCACACUUCGAUCGCACCCAUUUUCCCCAAAUUAUGCACUUUCCAUCUCCACCAUUUCGACACUUAGACGGGAGAACGCAGCGAACGAAAAUCAAACAAAAGGUAAACAUUUCUUCUAUCGUUCAACAACAACAACAACUUCUUAGGUACUGUAUUCAUCACACUGUACAAAGAUGUAUCACUACGAUUCAAAAUAAGUGCCUGGUUCCUUUCUAGGUAGAAUUGUGUUUCUAUUUCCAAAGGUUGUACAAAAAUUAGAUGGCAUCUCAGAAUUCUUUUACUAGUGUUUAAUUGAAGAUGGUUUCUAGUUCAAAGCAUGCUUUUAUGGUGGAUGCAGAUUGGUUA